GAUGAAGAACGUAGCGAAAUGCGAUAAGUAAUGUGAAUUGCAGAAUUCAGUGAAUCAUCGAAUCUUUGAACGCACAUUGCGCCCGCGAGUAUUCUCGCGGGCAUGCCUGUCCGAGCGUCAUUUCAACCUUCAGGGCCCGCCUGCUUGCAGGCGCGGCGCUGGUGUUGGGGAUCGGCUACCCUGCCGUCCCCCAAAUACAGUGGCGGUCUCGCUGCAGCCUCCCCUGCGUAGUAGCAACACUCGCAUGCGGAGCGCGGCGCGGCCACGCCGUAAAACCCCCGACUUUCUGAACGUUGACCUCGGAUCAGGUAGGAAUACCCGCUGAACUUAAGCAUAUCAAUAAGCGGAGGA
rnacentral:misc_RNA from 1 species